rnacentral:rRNA from 1 species
GGGGGUUUUUUGUCUAUACUGCACGUCGAACGAACUCUGGUAUUGAUUGGUGCUUGCAUCAUGAUUUACAUUUGAGUGAGUGGCGAACUGGUGAGUAACACGUGGGAAACCUGCCCAGAAGCGGGGGAUAACACCUGGAAACAGAUGCUAAUACCGCAUAACAACUUGGACCGCAUGGUCCGAGUUUGAAAGAUGGCUUCGGCUAUCACUUUUGGAUGGUCCCGCGGCGUAUUAGCUAGAUGGUGAGGUAACGGCUCACCAUGGCAAUGAUACGUAGCCGACCUGAGAGGGUAAUCGGCCACAUUGGGACUGAGACACGGCCCAAACUCCUACGGGAGGCAGCAGUAGGGAAUCUUCCACAAUGGACGAAAGUCUGAUGGAGCAACGCCGCGUGAGUGAAGAAGGGUUUCGGCUCGUAAAACUCUGUUGUUAAAGAAGAACAUAUCUGAGAGUAACUGUUCAGGUAUUGACGGUAUUUAACCAGAAAGCCACGGCUAACUACGUGCCAGCAGCCGCGGUAAUACGUAGGUGGCAAGCGUUGUCCGGAUUUAUUGGGCGUAAAGCGAGCGCAGGCGGUUUUUUAAGUCUGAUGUGAAAGCCUUCGGCUCAACCGAAGAAGUGCAUCGGAAACUGGGAAACUUGAGUGCAGAAGAGGACAGUGGAACUCCAUGUGUAGCGGUGAAAUGCGUAGAUAUAUGGAAGAACACCAGUGGCGAAGGCGGCUGUCUGGUCUGUAACUGACGCUGAGGCUCGAAAGUAUGGGUAGCAAACAGGAUUAGAUACCCUGGUAGUCCAUACCGUAAACGAUGAAUGCUAAGUGUUGGAGGGUUUCCGCCCUUCAGUGCUGCAGCUAACGCAUUAAGCAUUCCGCCUGGGGAGUACGGGCCGCAAGGCUGAAACUCAAAGGAAUUGACGGGGGUCGCACAAGCGGUGGAGCAUGUGUUUAAUUCGAAGCUACGCGAAGAACCUUACCAGGUCUUGACAUACUAUGCAAAUCUAGAGAUUAGACGUUCCUUUCGGGACAUGAUACAGGUGGUGCAUGGUUGUCGUCAGCUCGUGUCGUGAGAUGUGGGUAGUCCGCACGAGCGCACCUAUAUCAGUGCAGCAUAGUGGCACUCUGGUGGACUGCGUGACACGAGAGGUGGAUGACGUCAAUCAUCAUGGCCCUUGACUGGCUACACGUGCUACAUGAUGUACCGAGUUGCAACUCGGGGGAGCUAUCUUAGCAUUUCAGUCGAAUGAGGCGUGCACUCGCUCAUCAGAGUGAAAUC